AUGCUGGGAUUGGGAUGAGAAACAAGGACUAAUAUGUCUAAUUUUUUUUAUAUUAUUUUAUAUCCAUAUUUCAACAAAGAUGAGUUUUAUCAUGAUGCUUUUUUUUCUUUUAUAGUAAUGAUUCUACUUGUUUGAUCUCAGUCAUUAAAAUUAUUUAUAGUAACUAUUUUCUUGUUUAAUCUUGAUCAUUAAAACUAACAUGGUAAGUCGGUUAAUAUUUUUUUAAUAAAAAAAUAGCAGAUCAGCAUAGGAGAGAGAAAAGAGGAGAGAGGAGGUAAGAAAGUGUGGGAU
rnacentral:lncRNA from 1 species